rnacentral:rRNA from 1 species
AGCGAACGCUGGCGGCAGGCCUAACACAUGCAAGUCGAACGAAGUCUUCGGACUUAGUGGCGGACGGGUGAGUAACACGUGGGAACGUGCCUUUAGGUUCGGAAUAACUCAGGGAAACUUGUGCUAAUACCGAAUGUGCCCUUCGGGGGAAAGAUUUAUCGCCUUUAGAGCGGCCCGCGUCUGAUUAGCUAGUUGGUGAGGUAAAGGCUCACCAAGGCGACGAUCAGUAGCUGGUCUGAGAGGAUGAUCAGCCACAUUGGGACUGAGACACGGGCCAAACUCCGGCGGGAGGCAGCAGUGGGGAAUCUUGCGCAAUGGGCGAAAGCCUGACGCAGCCAUGCCGCGUGAAUGAUGAAGGUCUUAGGAUUGUAAAAUUCUUUCACCGGGGACGAUAAUGACGGUACUCGGAGAAGAAGCCCCGGCUAACUUCGUGCCAGCCGCCGCGGUAAAAC